UGGUAAUGGGGGCCCCUGUUUUCCCCCUUGGCGAAUCUACAGCUCGCCGCCUAGCUCUCGGCCACACUACC
rnacentral:tRNA from 1 species